UGGGGAAUAUUCCGCAAUGGGCGCAAGCCUGAUCCAGCCAUGCCGCGUGAGUGAUGAAGGCCCUAGGGUUGUAAAGCUCUUUCGGCGGGGAAGAUAAUGACGGUACCCGCAGAAGAAGGUCCGGCUAACUCCGUGCCAGCAGCCGCGGUGAUACGGAGGGACCUAGCGUUGUUCGGAAUUACUGGGCGUAAAGCGCACGUAGGCGGAUCUGUUAGUCGGGGGUGAAAGCCCGGGGCUCAACCCCGGAAUAGCCUCCGAUACUGCAGGUCUUGAGAGUGAGAGAGGUGAGUGGAAUUCCUAGUGUAGAGGUGAAAUUCGUAGAUAUUAGGAAGAACACCAGUGGCGAAGGCGGCUCACUGGCUCAUUUCUGACGCUGAGGUGCGAAAGCGUGGGGAGCAAACAGGAUUAGAUACCCCGGUAGUCC
rnacentral:rRNA from 1 species